rnacentral:rRNA from 1 species
AGAGAGAGACAUGCGCGCAUAUCAAUAAGCGGAGGAAAAGAAACUAACAAGGAUUCCCUUAGUAACGGCGAGUGAAGCGGGAAGAGCUCAAAUUUGAAAUCUUCAAGGUUUUACCUUGACGAAUUGUAGUUUAAGGAAGUGUUUUCUGCUGAAGUUUUGGUAAAAGUUCUUUGGAAUAGGACAUCAUAGAGGGUGAGAAUCCCGUAUUUGACCAUUAUUUUCAGCUUUGUGAUACACUUUCAAAGAGUCGGAUUGUUUGGGAAUGCAGUCCAAAAUGGGUGGUAAAUUUCAUCUAAAGCUAAAUAUUGGCGAGAGACCGAUAGCGAACAAGUACCGUGAGGGAAAGAUGAAAAGAACUUUGAAAGGAGAGUUAAACAGUACGUGAAAUUGUCAAAAGGGAAGCGUUUGACACCAGUGUUGUUUUCUCGAAAAUCAAUUAAAAAUGGCUCGAUUUUGUAUUGUUGAGACCUUAAAAGCUCACUGUACAUUUUUCGUGUCUUUUUUAAUGCACUUUUCGUUUAACAAGUCAACAUCAGUUUCUUUUGUUGUAAAAGGGUCAUUGGAAGGUGGCUUUCUUUUCGGAGAAAGUGUUUAUAGCCUUUGGCCUCUGCAAUCGGAAGAGACUGAGGUCUGCAGCGUAGACUCUUCGGGGUUAGAUACAUUUGUGCUAAGUUAUAGCUUUUUAUAGACAACUUGUUGACUAUAAUUAGUCUUGUAGCUUACUCGCUUAUGCUAUUUUACCUACGCUUAGGAUGUUGAAGUCAUCGUAUCGCGC